AGCUCCAGUAGCGUAUAUUAAAGUUGUUGCAGUUAAAAAGCUCGUAGUUGGAUUUCUGGCGUGACGUGCCUGGCCCGCCGCGUAAGCGAGUGAGUGCCGGUGCGCGUCUGCCAUCCUUCCAGAACGCACUCCUGCCCUUCACUGGGAUUGUGGAGACGGCGGUCUGGAUCUUUUACUUUGAAAAAAUUAGAGUGUUUAAAGCAGGCUUGCGCUAUGAAUACAUUAGCAUGGAAUAAUAAGAUAGGACUUGAGUCUCUAUUUUGUUGGUUUCUAGAACUUGAGUAAUGAUUGAUAGGGAUAGUUGGGGGUGCUAGUAUUGAACGGCCAGAGGUGAAAUUCUUGGAUUCGUUCAAGACUAACUUAUGCGAAAGCAUUCACCAAGGAUGUCUUCUUUAAUCAA
rnacentral:rRNA from 1 species